AAUUACAAGAAUUAAAUGAACUCUUCAAGCCUGUGGUUGCUGCACAGAAAAUAAGCAAAGGUGCUGACCCAAAAUCUGUAGUUUGUGCUUUCUUCAAGCAAGGACAGUGCACUAAAGGAGACAAGUGCAAGUUUUCUCAUGAUUUGUCAUUGGAAAGGAAGUGUGAAAAACGAAGUGUCUACAUCGAUGCAAGAGAUGAAGACCUU